GACCAAUUGGAGGAGCUGGGUUUAGAUGGCCUGUGGAAAGGGACGGCGUAUUUGUUCUAAAAUAUUGGGUUGUCUGAUGAUGCUCCGCCACGAGCUUCUUUGAGAAGCCGAUGCUGUGGCCGAGAAAUUGCCCGGUUAUUUCGACGUCAUCAUGGAUUUCGGUACUGUGAAAUCCAAAUUGGAGAGAGGUGCGUACUCCAAGGCUAAUGGCUUUGCUUAUGAGCCUUGUCUUCUCAAAUGCUUUAAGAUAUUAUCCGCUUGGGAAUAUUGAGCAUGCAGCAGCCAAGAAUCUCAGUGGUGUUUUUGAGACCAAGUGGAAAGAAGAUACGGAGAAAAAGCCAAAUGCUAUUUGUCCCCCUCUCCGCAGGGUUUGUCAGUGUCACCCAAACAGAAACAGGGCAAGAGGUCUUUUACUUCUAGGGUUCUUCAAACUCAAGGGCUUGGGAUUCUCCCCCAAUUGAUUCAACCGAAGAUGAUGACUUCGCUACCCUUGUUCAUCAUGCCAUGGAUCCGAUCCCCCUCCCAUAAUCUUUCUCCAUGUAAGGCUAGCCGAAUUCAGUCACUUGAAGAUACGAUUUUCAGAUACAAUAUUGAAAGCAAACAAGAUAAUUAAGGGUCCACCUGAUUCUCCACCAAGCAGAAAAUUGAUGCAGUGUAAUAAGGAAAGGGGAUCGGCUUGCCGUACCAUUUUGAACAUGAAGAAGUCAAUGUAUUUUGACAACAAACAAUUUACAGGAUGUCAAACAAUUUGAGAUGCUGUGUGGCUGUGCCAGUGAAUAUCCUUUUCUACAGGUCCACCUUAGACUUCACUUAAGAAAUUGGGUGUAUACCCUCAAGGAAGAUGAUGAGUUGGAAGGUCAGGAUGAGGAGGCUUUUGUGAAUCGAGAUUGGAAGGAAUGUGAGAUCCGCUGGGAGGAAGAAGGGGAUUGAGAGGAAGGCGUGAUUCAUUCAUGAAGCCUUGUCAUUAUGGGUAACAACACUGAGUUUCAAAGCUCAGUUGUUUGGCUUUCUGAAAAUUUAACGCUUGUCGAUGCAAGAGUUAAUCUUGUUGAGUGCAACAUAAGAGUGCUUGGAGGACUUGUCUCUGGUCAUCUACUUGCCACUGAUUCUACAGACAGGUUGGGUGAAGGUACACAAGAAUCAGCGGCUUACUUUGGCCGAGGAUUUGGGGAAACACUUUCUACCUGCAUUUGACACACCGACUGGAUUACCAUAUGCAUGGGUUAACUUAAAGGUGGUUUUGUUUGUAAGAAGGAUAUACGACUCCCCAUCAAUGCAAAAUUCCGUGGACCGUAUGGAGUGAUGGAGAAUGAGACUACUGAAACAAGCACUUCAGGGUGUGGAAUUCAGGUUCUCUAAUUCUGGAAAUGGGAGCAUUAUCCCAAUUGACUGGAGACCCGAAAUACGAAUCUGCAGCUUUACGUGCUCAUCGUUGAAUUUACUUGGUACAAACACUGGAUGUAUCAACUGGGGAAUGGAUUGAAUAUUCAACUGGGAUUGGGGCUGGGGUUGAUUCAUUUUAUGAGUAUCUAUUUAAGGCUCGCAUUCUUUUUGAAAAGGGGAAGUUCUGGAGAAUGUUUCAUUCUGCUUAUAUUGCUGUGCAGGAAUAUUUCAGACAUGGUCCAAGUGCAGAACAUAUACAUCAUCCACAACAAACUAGCAGAACCAAAGUGGCCCUUACCUUCAUGAAUGGAUCUCCUUCCUCCCAGCAGAUCUCGCCUUCCUCCCAAUCUCCUUUCAGAAAAGCCUCCUCAUCCUGACCUUGCAACUCAUCAUCUUCCUUGAGGUAUACACCCAAUUUCUUAAGUGGGAGUCCAAAGUGGACCUGUAGAAAAGGAUCUUCACUGCCACAGCCACACAACAUCUCAAGUUGUUUGAGAUCCUAUAAAUGGUCCUCAAAAUACACUGACUUCUCCAUGUUCAAAAUGGUACGGCGAGCCGAUUCCCUUUCCUUAGUCCGUUGCAUCAAUUUUCUGCUUGGUGGGGAAUCAGGUGGACCUUUAAUUAUCUUGUUUGCUUUCAAUAUUGUAUCUGAAAAUCGUAUCUUCAGUGACUAAAUUCGGCUAGCCUUACAUGGAGAAAGAUUAUGCGAGGCCUGAUCCAUGGCAUGAUGAACAAGGGUAGUCAAGAUCAUCUUUGGUUGAAUCAACUGGCUGAGAAUCAAAAACCCCAAGCCCUUGAGUUUGAAGAACUAGAAGUAGAAGAGCUCUUGCCCUAUUUCAGUUUGGGUGACACUAACAAACCCUUGACUUUGCACAAAGGACAAGUAGUCUUUGGCCUUUUCUCUAUGGCUUUUUUCCACUCGAUCUCAAAAACACCACUGCGAUUCUUGGUUUCUCCAUGCUCAAUUCUCCCAAACCGAUAAUAUCUUAAAGCACUUGAGAAGAUAAGCCUGACAUUAGCAGCAAAGCCAUUAGCGCUGGAGUAGGCACCUCUCUCCAAUUUGGAUUUCACAGUACCGAAAUCCGUCGGCCUCCCAAUGUCGUCGAAAUAACCAGGCAAAUUCUCGGCCACAAGAUCAACCACAUGCUUAACGAAGAACCUUGCAUGACGGAGCAUCAUGUGAAAACCUAAGAUUUUAGAACAAUACAUCGUUUCUUUCCGCCAACACCCAGUUUUGCCUCUUGCUCUUUGGGGUCUGAUGGAGAUCAUCUAAACCCAGCUCCUCCAAUUGGCCAUGCUUUCUAGAAGACGAAGCCAAAGUGAUGAUGGUCUUGCCUUGUUUAUGUGACAAACCCUUGCACAGAGGAAGACAAGCAGUUGGCUUUUCCUCCUUGGCUACAUUCCGUUUGGUCUCAGAAACCCUAGAAGACCUCUUGCUCUUCUUGCUCCAUGGCUAUGUGUCAAAAUUUUUGUUCACAAUGUAAAUUCUUUUGUAAACGUACCUAAUGCUCAUUGUGUUUUAUGUGUAUGCUUUAUCAGCUUGUCAUCAAGUGAUUAUAUGGUGGUUUGAUGAAUGUGAGUAUGUAUAUUUUGUUUCUGCAGUUGAUUGCUAAGGAAUUUGGAAGUGUGUGUUCCCUUGAGUUUUUUUCUCAUGUGGAAGCGUGUAUGUUUUUUGGUAAUGAGAAGUAAUGUCUUCGGUAAGAGGCAAAGAUAAGACGUUUGAGUUUCA